rnacentral:tRNA from 1 species
GCCCUUGUGACGGAACUGGCAGACGUGCUGGCUUCAGAAACCAGAUUUUGUGGGAGUACCUUCGGAAAGCGCUUCGCGGGCGAUUCCCACCAAGGGUA